UGGGGCUUGAGCCACAUCCUGAACUCUAUUUUGAAUUUUAUUUAGAGACAGGGUCUCACUGAGUUGCUUAGUGCCUCACUUUUACUGAGGCUGGCUUUGAACUCUCCAUCCUUCUGCCUCAGCCUCCAGAGCUGCUGGGAUUACAGGUGUGAGCCACCACGCCCCAGCAUUUUAGUAUAACAUUUAGUAUAGGGAUAGAUGUCUCCAACUUACCCUGAUGUUUUUUAUUAAGCUCAUUCAAAGUUAAAGCCUUGAGCUACCUUAAUCACUAGUGCAUUCAAGUCCGUAAUAGUUUAUGUAAACUUAUUAUUUUCAACAUGGCUACUCUAUUUUAAUUAUCAAAGAUGUCUUAAAUACUUUUAAAAUGACAUGUGAAGAACAUACACACAAAUUAGAAUGUGUAAUUUAUUAAAAUAGACCAAAUGAAUUUUUACCUUGGAAGAGUCUUUAAAGUUUUUUUUAAUGGUUAAAGAAGAUUAAAUUGGAUUACAUUGACACUUUGUAGAGUUUGAUGGUAACUGAUGGUAUGAGUCAGUCUAAUAAAUUCCACUUCGAAAAUAUGUCUUGUCAUAUAUGGAAGCUAGUAAUUUUGAUUGCUGUUGGAAAGCUGAAGAACUCAUGUCCUCUUUCCUUGCCCCAUAUCCAUCGUUGUGAAAGCUGCCCCCACCUUUAGUAUAUGUUGUCAGUCAGCCCUAUAAUGUUUCCCUUCUUUUGUUUUUAGGGAUUAU
rnacentral:lncRNA from 1 species